CACUAUCGUUAACUGAAUACAUAGGUUAACGAGGCGAACCGGGGGAACUGAAACAUCUAAGUACCCCGAGGAAAAGAAAUCAACCGAGAUUCCCCCAGUAGCGGCGAGCGAACGGGGAGCAGCCCAGAGUCUGAAUCAGCUUGUGUGUUAGUGGAACGGUCUGGAAAGUCCGACGGUACAGGGUGAUAGUCCCGUACACCAAAAUGCACAGGUUGUGAACUCGAAGAGUAGGGCGGGACACGUGGUAUCCUGUCUGAAUAUGGGGGGACCAUCCUCCAAGGCUAAAUACUCCUGACUGACCGAUAGUGAACCAGUACCGUGAGGGAAAGGCGAAAAGAACCCCGGCGAGGGGAGUGAAAAAGAACCUGAAACCGUGUACGUACAAGCAGUGGGAGCACCUUCGGGUGUGACUGCGUACCUUUUGUAUAAUGGGUCAGCGACUUAUAUUCUGUAGCAAGGUUAACCGUAUAGGGGAGCCGCAGGGAAACCGAGUCUUAACUGGGCGUUAAGUUGCAGGGUAUAGACCCGAAACCCGGUGAUCUAGCCAUGGGCAGGUUGAAGGUUGGGUAACACUAACUGGAGGACCGAACCGACUAAUGUUGAAAAAUUAGCGGAUGACUUGUGGCUGGGGGUGAAAGGCCAAUCAAACCGGGAGAUAGCUGGUUCUCCCCGAAAGCUAUUUAGGUAGCGCCUCGUGAAUUCAUCUUCGGGGGUAGAGCACUGUUUCGGCUAGGGGGUCAUCCCGACUUACCAACCCGAUGCAAACUACGAAUACCGAAGAAUGUUAUCACGGGAGACACACGGCGGGUGCUAACGUCCGUCGUGAAGAGGGAAACAACCCAGACCGCCAGCUAAGGUCCCAAAGUCAUGGUUAAGUGGGAAACGAUGUGGGAAGGCACAGACAGCCAGGAUGUUGGCUUAGAAGCAGCCAUCAUUUAAAGAAAGCGUAAUAGCUCACUGGUCGAGUCGGCCUGCGCGGAAGAUGUAACGGGGCUAAACCAUGCACCGAAGCUGCGGCAGCGACACUAUGUGUUGUUGGGUAGGGGAGCGUUCUGUAAGCCUGCGAAGGUGNUGCUGGAGGUAUCAGAAGUGCGAAUGCUGACAUAAGUAACGAUAAAGCGGGUGAAAAGCCCGCUCGCCGGAAGACCAAGGGUUCCUGUCCAACGUUAAUCGGGGCAGGGUGAGUCGACCCCUAAGGCGAGGCCGAAAGGCGUAGUCGAUGGGAAACAGGUUAAUAUUCCUGUACUUGGUGUUACUGCGAAGGGGGGACGGAGAAGGCUAUGUUAGCCGGGCGACGGUUGUCCCGGUUUAAGCAUGUAGGCUGAUUAUCCAGGCAAAUCCGGAUAAUCAAGGCUGAGGUGUGAUGACGAGGCACUACGGUGCUGAAGUAACAAAUGCCCUGCUUCCAGGAAAAGCCUCUAAGCAUCAGGUAACAUCAAAUCGUACCCCAAACCGACACAGGUGGUCAGGUAGAGAAUACCAAGGCGCUUGAGAGAACUCGGGUGAAGGAACUAGGCAAAAUGGUGCCGUAACUUCGGGAGAAGGCACGCUGGUGUGUAGGUGAAGCCCCUGCGGGUGGAGCUGAGACCAGUCGAAGAUACCAGCUGGCUGCAACUGUUUAUUAAAAACACAGCACUGUGCAAACACGAAAGUGGACGUAUACGGUGUGACGCCUGCCCGGUGCCGGAAGGUUAAUUGAUGGGGUUAUCCGUAAGGAGAAGCUCUUGAUCGAAGCCCCGGUAAACGGCGGCCGUAACUAUAACGGUCCUAAGGUAGCGAAAUUCCUUGUCGGGUAAGUUCCGACCUGCACGAAUGGCGUAAUGAUGGCCAGGCUGUCUCCACCCGAGACUCAGUGAAAUUGAACUCGCUGUGAAGAUGCAGUGUACCCGCGGCAAGACGGAAAGACCCCGUGAACCUUUACUAUAGCUUGACACUGAACAUUGAGCCUUGAUGUGUAGGAUAGGUGGGAGGCUUUGAAGCGUGGACGCCAGUCUGCGUGGAGCCAACCUUGAAAUACCACCCUUUAAUGUUUGAUGUUCUAACGUUGGCCCCUGACCGGGGUUGCGGACAGUGUCUGGUGGGUAGUUUGACUGGGGCGGUCUCCUCCCAAAGCGUAACGGAGGAGCACGAAGGUUAGCUAAUCCUGGUCGGACAUCAGGAGGUUAGUGCAAUGGCAUAAGCUAGCUUGACUGCGAGCGUGACGGCGCGAGCAGGUGCGAAAGCAGGUCAUAGUGAUCCGGUGGUUCUGAAUGGAAGGGCCAUCGCUCAACGGAUAAAAGGUACUCCGGGGAUAACAGGCUGAUACCGCCCAAGAGUUCAUAUCGACGGCGGUGUUUGGCACCUCGAUGUCGGCUCAUCACAUCCUGGGGCUGAAGUAGGUCCCAAGGGUAUGGCUGUUCGCCAUUUAAAGUGGUACGCGAGCUGGGUUUAGAACGUCGUGAGACAGUUCGGUCCCUAUCUGCCGUGGGCGCUGGAGAAUUGAGGGGGGCUGCUCCUAGUACGAGAGGACCGGAGUGGACGCAUCACUGGUGUUCGGGUUGUCAUGCCAAUGGCACUGCCCGGUAGCUAAAUGCGGAAGAGAUAAGUGCUGAAAGCAUCUAAGCACGAAACUUGCCCCGAGAUGAGUUCUCCCUGAGACUUUAAGUCUCCUGAAGGAACGUUGAAGACGACGACGUUGAUAGGCCGGGUGUGUAAGCGCAGCGAUGCGUUGAGCUAACCGGUACUAAUGAACCGUGAGGCUUAACCUU
rnacentral:rRNA from 1 species